AUGGAAUAGCCUUCCAGCUGAAGUGGUAGAGGGUAACACAGUAAAGGAGUUUAAGCAUGCGUGGGAUAGACAUAAGGAUAUCCUAACUAUAAAUUAAGGCUAGGGACUAAUGAAAGUAUUUAGAAAAUUGGGCAGACUAGAUGGGCCGAAUGGUUCUUAUCUGCCGUCACAUUCUAUGUUUCUAUGUUUCCAUUACUGGUGGCCUUGUCGCUAUGGGGUCCAUAUUGUGGGACAGGAAAGUAGUCUUCUUCACUGAUAACAUGUCGGUAGUGGACGCAGUAAACAAUUUGUUGGCCUCUUCAGUACCAGUGGUGCAACUGCUACAUCAAUUUAUCCUACAUUGCAUGCAAUUUAAUAUUGUUUUUCGUGCACAUCAUGCACCAGGUUUCUUGAACGUAAUCGCUGAUGCGCUUUCUUGUUUACUGUGGGACUGUGGGUGAGAUUCCGCACAGAGGCUCCGAAAGCACAGGUGGAAGGUUUAUCUUGCCUGGCCGAGCAGUGGCAUCUCGGGACUUCAUGCUUGGAAGACUAAACAGAGAGUUAUUGGCGCCAAGCACGGGGGCAGCAUACAGUAAAGUAUGGGACUCAUAGGAUGUGACGUGGGGCUGUAUUGAAGGGAUUCAGUCGGCGGAGGUACGUCCAGAUGUUUUGUUAUGGUUUAUGUGUCGGUUGUUCGCGUCGGGCGCCUCGCCGUUGGUUGUUGACCGUAAUCUAGCCGCGUUGGAGUUUCUAUUCAAAUUAAAUGGUUGGGAAGACUUGACAAAGCACUUUCUGUUCCAUCAAACUUUUGAAGGUUUUUGAAGGCAUUGCAAGAUCUUUGUUUUUCGCAAUAGGAAGUGCUGUUGUUUAUGGUGGCAUUUGUUUAGGCAUUCUUUUAGCCUUUCAUAUUAGUGAAUUAGUGAGUAGGAACCAGGUGCAGGCGGGGGGCAUCCUAUUUUCUGAUGUGGAGGUUGGAGAAGAUAAGUUGGUAUUUAUCUACAUCGGUCUAAAACUGAUGUGUUCGGUAAGGGCUGCCUGGUCAAACUGUCUUGUUUACCUGGCUCGUGGGCAUGUCCAGUGGGAUGCACUUUCCAGUAUCUGGCCGUUCGUUUGCGGGCGAGGGGUUAUUUUUUUAUCCACAAUGUACAAAUAUCAAUUUACCCGUGUUUUUUCACUUAUGCUUGGGGCAACUGGGUCUGGAUGCAGGGAAAGUAAAAGUGCUCACUAUGUGUAGUUCUAUAUGUUUUUCUUCUAUUUUAGGUCUGGUUGCCUGGAUAGUAAGUCCUUCCUUCGUUUACUGGGCGGAACGGAGAGCCGCGGUUCGACCUAGGGGGAUGCAGCUGGGCUUUCCUCAUGAUUUACUUACAUUACAUUACAUUAGUUUGGUUUUCGUGGUUUUUGUUGGAGUAACAUAUGCUCUGAAUUAUUUAGAAAAAUAGGGCAGGGCAUAGUCUCGGAUUGUAUUUUAAUCCAUGCUGGGGGUAAUGAUUUAGGGCUUAUAGCCCAAAGGGAAUUGAUGCAGUCCAUGAAGAGGGUGAGAGGUUUGGUUCCCGGACUAAUUAUUAUUUGGUCUGAGUUGGUGCUCCGAAUCCAUUGGCAUUUUGCUGGAACUCCUGCGGCGAUAGUUACAAGUCGCAUUAGGGUCAAUCAGUCAAUGGCGGUUUACAUUAAGAGAUUGGGGGGUGUUGUGAUUAGGCACAAAGAAUUGGAAGCUAUGCUUCCCAGCUAUUUCAGGUAUGAUGGAGAACAUCUUUCUGAUGUUCUUAUGGACUUCUUGAACAUGGGUUUUCAGGAAAGAUUUGAGACAGGCUCUUGAUAGGUGGGUGGGGGCGCUCAGGUAGCUUGAGGAGGUCAAACUCUGUGCUAUGGCGGGGAUGGAUAAGGAUAAUUGGGGGUAGGUUGACUUGGUUAGUGGGUGGAAGUUCUAGUUCAGGAACAAUGGUUUAUGUUUGCAUUGGUUUGGUAGGUUCGAGCUCAUCGGUUGCUCUGAAUCUUUGUGCGUAGCAGCAUCUCGGUAUACCUCUACAAGUGGUUAAGGAUGCCUUUGGUGGCUUUGAAAAAGAUGCCCUUGGUGGCUUGGGUAACUGUUUGUGUCUUAUGAUAAAUGUUUUAAGUUUGCUGUAUUUUAUGUAGGGGUCAUAGUCUGUAAAUGUCUCACAUUGGAAAAUUGUUGGGCUUCAAUGUCGUUAAGUAUGUUGACUUUGACCCCUUAUUUACAUUUUAUGUUUAAACAAUUAUCAUUAAUACAAGCUGUGAUAUUUUCCCAAGAAAUAUUGGUGUCUGUGUUUAAAUGGGAGGGGAGUGGCUUGAUGGUGGGUUUUAUUAGGAAUAUUCCUGGGGGACAAAUAAGCGCAGGUUCAAGCUAUGUCGAAGUCCCACAGUGAGAACAAAUUUGAAAGGACAAUGCACAGAGUAAGCUGCUCACCUGUUCUUGGGUUUGCAAAUCUUUUCGCUCAGGACCUUAUUCAUUAAACCAGCUUUUUUGGUUUCAGUUUUGUGAAUUAGGUUUUCACACCACUGCUUAGUGAAUGGAAUCCCUAAUGGUUAUGUGACUUACAUAUCUCCAAAUAGUAGCCACAAUCCAAAGUUUAGGUACACUGUUAAAGAACAAAAAAUUAAAGAUGAAGAAGACUUAGUCCUGUUGUAAAAGGUAAAAGUGACACCAUCUAGAGAAAAAAUUAAAUGAAAAAAAUUGAUGUCAAACGUCCGAACAUCGGAAACCCGACAGAACAACACCAGACACAAAAGUAUUGUCAACUUCAUCGAUUUUUGACGCAAAGACAAUUUUUUUUUUUUCGGCCAGUCUCAGUGAAACCAUAUCUACACAUCCCACAGGAGAGUAUAUUUUAGGCCUAGUGGUCGAGACAACCUAACACCCCUCAGCAGACCAAAGGAUCCGAACGGACUGGAAUGCCAUGUACUGGAACAUGGGUGCCGAAAUAGCUGAUGUCAUAGCAAUCAUGACAUAAAGAUCAAAAGUAUCUGCCGGUCGUGAAUACCUGAGAAAGAAAAUUCAGGAUAGUAAGAAUAGGCGCCCCAAAGGUAUCGAGGUUCAUUUCCAAAUACAAGUCACUAAAGGGAGACGGUCUUGGAGCAGAAGAGGACGAGGGUUCCCUUGCGGAUCUUUCAGAAAGGGUGCGAAUGAUGGAAGUAAUAGUGGGUCCCUGUGAAUCAUAUCCAGAAGAUUGGGAAAUCAUGUCUGAAUCUGCCAGAAUGGGUUGGUCAAAAUGAUUCACACCCUCAGAAGGCAUAUUUAAUAAAUGACUCUCAAUAUCAUCACAUACAGUGGGAAAAUAUACACAUCACGAUGAAGCCAGGAUCCAGAAGCCAGCUGAAGAAGAUUAAUAGUUGAUAAUUUAUCCAGUAGGUGAAAUGAUGCACCUCCAAUGGACCACUCAGAGCCUCCAGGUGAAGAACAACUAUCUUGCCAGUGUCCACUCGGUGCUGUCUCUCCAAUGUUGGGAAAACCAGUACACUGUGAGAUUGGUGACCCCAGGGAGAUACUCCGCCCGAAGUGUCAUGUUGCGUUAAAGACAAAACCAAUAGGUUUCCUUCACUACUUCUGACAGAACUACGAAACAAUUGCCCACAAGAUGAUUUAUAUACUGCAUUGCAGACACAUUGUCCAUGUGAAGAAGUAUACAACAGUUGGACAUAUUCCUUGCAAGACUGCAAAUAGCUAAGGAACCUGCUACCAAUUUCACUCAGUUGAUGUGGAGGCCCUCUUCCAUUUCCAACCAAGUACCUCCUGUCAAAAUGCCCCAUAAACUGGCAUCAGAGUCCACCACAAAAUCCAGACAUGGACCAUAGAUGGCCUUGCUGUUCCAUGCAUCCAUGUGAAGAAUCCAGCAAUCAAGCACGCAAUUUACAGCAUCUAUUUUUAGAUGUAAGAGAAUUGUAUACUGUUUGCAAUUGCAAUCAUGAGACAGUUUAAAACAUCUAAAACUGGCAAAAAGGUCACUGUAAAACCCCUUGUUGAAAAGCACAAUAUUUGUAAAGCUUAAAAAUGCCCACUCAAUGCCAGGAGCUAAUAAAAAGCAAAAACCACACCAAAUGAAAUAAUAAUAAAUAAAUAUAAUAAAUAAUAGUAUAUGCAAGUAUAUGUCAGCAUAAGUAAAUGCACCUAAAACCAAACCAAAAUAUUCCUGUGAAUAUGGCCUGAAGAAUUAUUUGAUACGUUAAAUGCAAAUUACACAGAAUGAUAAAAAAUAUAUAUAUAAAUGAAUGAUAAAAUAUAGGUACAUUUCAGUCGUGUCCUCAUAACUCCAAAUUAAAUUAUAGCAGUAUGUCACACAAACAUAUGGAUAAAAAUCCAAGAGUCAACAUGACCCAAACUGCAAAUUACUCUAGUAUUCAAAAAGUGCUGUUUGGUACAUAUAUACCUCUUGUUAAAGUGAAAAGACCAAAGGUAUAGGCCCAGCACCAAUUAAGUCCACUUGUAAUCUAUAAAAGAAAUAGAGAAAACAGGGACCUAGUGCUCACUGCUCUGCUUACUAUUAGGCUCCACAGGGUGGGAUAUUAUAGACCACUAUCCCAGUGGGGGUGUUGUACUUAAAAUACAGUAAGGGAUUUAAAGACAAUUGCACUAAACAUGCUACACAUUUAUAAAUGAUUACAAAUGUGUAUGGCAAGCAAACUUUUAUAUGUUCAUCUAUUGUAGCCCCAAGGAGCAAAAGCACAGCUUAGUGGAAAUGGGCCUUGACAGGGAUAGGAGGCGGGCAUUAGGAGGAAGCUAUGUAGGGAUUGGUGGUUUAGAGGGUAGGGGGCUGGGCUGUAUAAAUAGACAACCAUCUUAGGAAAUUCACUUUUAACUUGCCUACCUGGCUGAGUUUGUCCCUCCCUGGUAUUAAUGAGGGGUGGGGGGGGUUUCCCGUCCUGUCACAGCGUGGGAUAGGGAGCAGAAGGAUAGGAAAUAGGCUCUCCUUUAGGAUGGUUUUGGAAAUGGUUAAUAUGGUUCUUGGUAAGUUUGGUAGGUUUUUGAGCCCGUCGGUGGCUCAGAACCUGAUGGGGUAGGGUUAUCCGGGUAUACCCCUACCAUGGUUAAUUAAAACAUUGUCACUUUAAUUUAUGUUCAUGUUGAAAUACUCUUAUAUUCUAUGUGUUUAUAUAUGGGUCAUUGCCUUUUACAUAUAACUGGGGGAUAUGGAUGUUGUAUGGUGGGGUGGGGCAAUGACCUUUUU